CGACGGGCAGAGAGUUCAACCAAGCUCAGAAUCUUGGGCUUUAUCUGCAAGGUAGUGGGAGCCAUUGAUACAGGUGUGGGAAAACCAUGAUGUGUGGCAUCCAGGAAACCAAGGGAAGAGGAGUUAUAAAGGAGGGAGAUAUCUACUGCCCACAGCCACAGGGAGGCCAAGAGGGAGAAGAAGGGUGGUGAUGGUGGAAGUACAGCCCAGUCCAUUCACAUCUCUACCAGCUCCAGGUCUGAAAAUGGACAAUACUUAAGAUGACGCCUUGAAGACAAAACUGACAAGAUGCGUUUUCAAUUUGUGUCUUUUAAUCUAAAGAUGAUGAUUAUGUUGCACAUUGAGAGAGGCUGUUUCUUUUUUAAUUUAGGUGGUUUGAAAAACUGAAGUAGACUAAAUGAGUCUGAGUGUAAUUAAAGUUAUAAGCACAGAGAAAAAUAAGAAGUUUUAUUAACUGUGGAAGGAAUGUGGGUCUUUAGCUGCCCAGCCAGUUCACAAAGACAAAGGAGAUCCGUUUGCAGGGUUAAAUAAACACAAUACUUUAUAUUACAGUUCAAAUGCAUCCAUUUGCAACAAGACUCAAAGGGAAAAAUUGGUUUACCAGACUCAGCCUCUCCAGGGACAGCAAUGAGCCCUGUGCGGAGCUGCAGCCACCGGGCAACAAGCACCACCCAGGUGCAGCUCCCACUGCCGUGCCCUGUGGGCUGUGCCCCAAACCUCUGCAGGCCUUGCUGGUUAUUUUUUCACCUUGAUGCAUAUUAUACACUUGGCCGUCCUACACGUUGUUGGGUUGGAUUUUAGUAACCAGUCUGUCAGAAACAUGGAGCUGAAAAAUGUGUUUAGGCAAAAAGGAAAGCUCACGGGAAGGCAACGUGGAGAACAGCAUGUAGGGAAGAGGCCAGUCAGGCGAGGACUGGGCAGGGAAGGGCGGGAGGACGAGUGUCGGUUGAUGGCACCGCUUUCCACGGAUUAAUUCUUCUUAAAGAUCUAAGCAGAUGCACUCGGGGCCAAUGUUCCCGGCUGAAAUCAGCAGCUCUGUGCAUCUGAAGCAGGACAAGAGGCCAGGGAGAGGCCGCCGGGCCUGAGCCCCAGGAGCCAAGAAGACCUGCACAGUCAACUUCCCUCUUCAAGUAUCAUUUGGCCAACGAGGAGCUUGUUAAUUGGUGCCAAUUAUUGGUUUGCCAGCAACUCCCACAGAUUAAUAUUUCAGGAGUUAGAAACCCAGCUGAGCGUGAAAACAGCAUCGACUCGGAGCUAAGAAUCACAUUUCAAAACUGCAGGGAAAAAAGCGAGCGAAAGAGAUUGUUUCUUGAGAAAAGAGGAAGAGACUCAUUCAUCUCACAAAUACUCAGGACUCUGAAAGCCUGAAUCAGCUCCCCAGACACAGAAACAUGGCAUGCGUCUACACAGAUUAGAUUGUACGCUCUGCAAGUAUAGGAAUGUCCCCCCAUGGCCCAAGAAUCUCAGCUUUUCUCCAGCAAAACGGGACACGCUUAAACUUCCUUUGGUUAAAAAGUGCUCUUCAAGAAUGUGUUUCUGAAACUAAUAAAAUGACUUGAAACUCUACAAUGCAUUCCUUACAAGGUGAGAGAGAACUUCAUUCACCAGAGUCCACUUGCUCGCUGCUCAAAGCGAAGGCACAGGCAGGAAUGACUUCCUUCCCCCUACCCCCCACCCCGUAUGUUUUGUUGCCUGAGGGGGUCCCAGGAAGGGCACCCUGUGAGGCUGAGGCCGCAGGGGAGUGUGGAGCCUGGCUGCCAUCACACCAUCUUCAGCAAACAGCCCAGGCCCCUCUCCUGGUCCUCACACCCCAGGAGGGCUGGCCGUCCCCAGUUCCCAGCAGGGCCCAGACCUCACCAGACUCCUCCCUGACUCUCCCAGACCCACAAGGGCCCCCAAAACCACCGUCCUGGGGAUCCCCACCCUUCCCCCUGGCUCACCCCAUCCCUGGCUCCCAC
rnacentral:lncRNA from 1 species